rnacentral:rRNA from 1 species
UACGGAGGGGGCUAGCGUUGUUCGGAAUUACUGGGCGUAAAGCGCACGGUAGGCGGCUUGUAAGUUAGAGGUGAAAGCCCAGGGCUUAACCCUGGAAUUGCCUUUAAGACUGCAUCGGCUAGAAUCGUGGAGAGGUGAGUGGAAUUCCGAGUGUAGAGGUGAAAUUCGAUAGAUAUUCGGAAGAACACCAGUGGCGAAGGCGACUCACUGGACAGCGUAUGACGCUGAGGUGGCGAAAGCGUGGGGAGCAAACAGG